UCUUUUCUAUAGAAAGCCACCAAUAAUUCCCACAUUUAUUUCAUCCCAUCAACAAAUCAUUUUCCCCAGCCCAAUCCAAUUCGCUGACCCAGCCAACUCCUAUUCUAAAGAAACUCGUAAUUCUCAUCUAAUAUAGUACAGUUCCUACCAAAACGACAGGUUUUAGCAUCCCAACUUUAAACCCACUAAGCGUACGAUUUCAGCGCAUCAACUAUGAAAGAAAAGUGUUGCAAUACGCGAGCCCGAUAUCUACUUCGUUCUUCCUCAACACGACGACAACAUCCCAAAGAAUGACCCUUCGCGCAUGACCAACCCAUCCCUAACGUCUCUUUCCCCUUUUCUUAUUUAUUCGGCUUUAGCUAUUGUACGACUCUAGCAGCAAAUUUUGUCCUUGGCUAGGUGGAUGGGCACCACAUCGAGAACAAGGACAAUUAGAUUGAAUUUGAGCCAUCCGUUCCUUGCCUCAUACAAGUUUUGAGGGAUUUUGGGCUUAUUUCCUGCCAACAAUAGAGCAGUCCCUUGUCCUGGGGGAAGUUUUCAAAAUUUUUGAAUUGAUGGAAUUUUCGAUUUUACACCCUUCUAGUCUGGAACCUUAAUUUCCUCUCAUUUAUAACCUCGCUUCAUGUUCAGGAGGAAGGGGAUUUUUUUUACUUCCACUGAAACCGUAUAGAAAAUACAUAAGAAUAUAUAAUCAACACACUUCAAAGAAGAAAAGAUAAGUAAUUCUAACCUCGAUCCCUAUUUCACUCAAUCAAAAGCUUGUUGAGAUAUUUUGUUGUGGUGGUAGAAGUGUGUAGCGGCUCGUUUUUCCCCAACUCGCUGGACAAAAUAAGGUAAAUACAAAUUCUAUUUAUGUUGACUUGUUAUUCCUUGUGUUGUUUCAAUCAUGUUUGGCCGCUGUUUGAUUUAUCUUUGGUCGUUCUUUCUUGGAUGUCCCCAUGCUGCUCGACUCUCAGUUUAUAUAGUAGCCUAGAGGUUGAGUUAGAAUCAUUUUUGUGUUCAUCCGAUGUAUAAAAGACGUGUUCUAAAUGUUGUCGCUCUUAUAAGUUUUAGAAUUCUUCUUUCAAGUUAGCUAUCAUAUUAAUAGUUCCAUCUUACUUGAAUGGAAUUUCUAAUAUUGUGUGAAGUUGCUGGUUGUCUCUUUCUUGGUGUUGCUGUCUCUUUAUGUUAUUUUGGGGCCAUUUCCUAUUCUCCUCUUUUCAGUCCAUUUGUUUUAAGUGGGUAAACUAUUUAGCGUGUUUUAGUUUAUUGAUUUUCUGAGAUCGGUGUUCUUGUUCGAAAAAAUUCUAUCUCUUGUAUGUAGGGUUUAUUUGUUUGACCCUAUUCGAGUUUUCCCUCUUUUCCCAUGUUCGUAACUAAGUAUUCGUGACUAAGCGUAGUGAAGACUGGUUUGUUCUCCCUACCUCACAUCUCAAAAGGUCCAUUUUAGUAUAGAUAGCGUCAUUCUGUUGUUUCUCAUUUUUGCAAGGCUCUUCUCGUUUCUGGCCGAAGUGUUCUAUUGCGAUUUCUUCUGUCCUUAAAAUUGCAGCAUGUCUCCCUCUUCUGUUUUCCUUGGUUAAAUUUGUCCAACAAGCAUUUUUUGGCUAGUUUUAGUGAUCGAAGGAGAGUGCUCAAACGACUAUCAUCAUCUGUAGAGUAGAAAUUUGUAAUUUUAGCUCGAAACAUACAAAUAUAUGUGAACUGAUUUAUUUUCUGAGUUUUAGUGACUGAUUUUUCAGGAUGUUGUUGUUAGUCAAUAUAGAAUUAGCUCUGUCAUCUUUGUCGAAAUUCAAAUAUAUCUUUACUAGUUUUAGUUUUCCGUCCAUCUCAACUACUUAUAUGGCAUCUUCACUUAGCAAUGUCCUUUUUGCAUUUCAUGUAUACCCAUGUCUGCUUUCGUUUACCGCCAGCAUUUUAGCUUGAGAAAAUAGAAUCGUUGGGGUCAGUUUAUUAUAGUUACAAUUUAUCUCUUCUCUUGUAAAUGGUGUGGCGAAAUCAAUUCAUUUUCUCUACUUUUGCUUGGGAAAUUGUAUUUGCACCCUCCUUAGCAUUGUUAGUUUUCAUUAAAUAAAGUUGGUUAGACUAAUAUCUAUGAUUGUUUUAUUUACUAAUUAUCCACUUGUUUUCUCUAAAUGCUUGGAGUUUUUUGUUUUUCAGUAAACAGUUGUAUAUCCCCUGGAACAUAGCAAGCUAAUAAGUGAACAUACAUGCAUAUAUAUGUACAACCGUUAGUUUCGUGAUCCUCUUAUUAUCUUUGUCCCUUUUAACUUGCUUAUUUCAUUUUUCAUUAGAGUAGUAUUUCUGUUCAAUUUAAGUUCCUUGGAUAGCUUCCAUUUUAAUCAAAUUCCGUUUUGUUUAAGUUACACCUUAUUUGUUCUAUAACUUCCUGUGAUAACCCUUGCCAUUUUUUUGAUACAUGUGAAAUCUACCUCGGAGUCUUCAUGGACUCCAUUUUGUCCCUGCAUUUCAAAAGAGUUACAAAGAAUCAUAAUGCCUUUCGAUUGAACCAAUAAUUAGAAAUCGACGUAUAGGUCUCGAUGAUUAAAGAAUCGAAGGAGAUAGGAGAAAUUUGACGGAGUGGAGCCAAAGUGUCCAAAAUUUUAUUUUUGUAGUGUUGUAUUUUGUUAGUUUGGGCCUAAGACCUUGCCAUAUUUUCUUUUCUGUAUUUAUGAUUCAUUAAUUGUCUGUUUAGCUUACGACAGGUACAAAUAAAAGUGGUCCAAACACCGGUCCAGGCAGACAGAAACCGGAGGAAAAAUCAGAAAUCUGUUGAAAAUUGUUUUGUGCAGAGGCCUACGGACCCCAUUGACGGUCCGUCGCCUUAUCGACAGACCUUCAAUGGCGUCUGUUUAUAGCAGGAAAGAUGUUCACGCUAAAAAUGGAGAAGACAAUUGAUAGAAGUGCAGAAACAGACCUACAGAGGUAAUCGACAGACCGUAGGUGAUGAUCGUAGAUGGGAAACUUAGGAAUCGAAGAAAAAUCAGGGAAGUCUAACUAAGUAUGGAACCACGAGAGGAAUCAACGAUCCGUUGACUGAUCGACAGACCGUACUAGUGAACUAUCAUUUGGUUCAAUACCUGAUUUUUGAACAUUCUAAGCAUCGAACUAUGGAUGAGCAUCGACGGCCCAUGAUAAAACCUUAAUUUUUUGGGUUAGUUACUAUUACUCUUGUUCUAGUAUAUGUAUUGGAGAUUGACUUUUGCAACUUUAGAAAUGCAGGGUGAAAUUAUCUAGAUGUCGGACCAAGGAUUUAGAGAUACCUAACUUAUUACUUUGAAUGUAAUAUACUAAGAAAGGAUUGCUUUAUCCAUAAAUACUGUGAUAUGAACCUGUGGGGAACACAUACACCAUAAUUACUUUCUCAUCUUAAUAACAACCAACGUCUACUUUUUUCACUUGAUAAUCAUACUAUUUAAGGAAUUUGUUUCACAAACUCCCCUUAACUUACAUGUUUCGGAAAGACAUUGACUAAACAAAUUAUAAUCGUGUAAGUCUACACCAUUUUCUUCGUGUGUUCGACCUCAACCUACAAGCUGGGUUUUUUUAGAGAGGUGUAACUUGAGCGUAUCAGGGACUCAAUUUUGAUAAUCAUCCAGCUAGUCAGAGUAUUGUGCAUAUCGUGUGCAGUAGACCAUAUAGUGGUCAUACUUUCUUUAAAUGUGGGGAACUUGGACACAUAAUGAAACACUUCCCACAACCAUGAUCACUUGAGUCUGGACAGCAGCCUUCUCGAGCAAUUGUGCACGUGGGGAUAGUAAUAAUGGUAAAGGAUGUCUACAAGUUGGGAGAGGAUGAUAUUAGCUAGGCCUUGGAGGUAGAGGAAAUGGUAACGCAUGUAGAAGUAACGUGCAACGUUGAAUGGAGGUGGCUUGUGUGGAUGAUAGAGCAUAAUGUUAUGCCUUUCCAAGAAACAAUGAGGUAGAGGCAUCCGAUGAAAUGAUCACAGGGAUCCGAUGGAGUUAAGAGAGAUUAUGGCUCAAAUCCAAGAGCUUCUUGAUAUGGAUUUUCCAUGUGUGAAUUUUGGUUGAAGUCGGUUGCAUUUUUGGGGCAUGUGGUAUCAAAAAGGGGUAAGGGUUGAUCCCCUAAAGGUUGAAGCGGUCGAGAAUUGGGUACUACCUAGUUCGGUGAUGGAAGUUUGGAGUUUUGUGGGACUUUCUAGUUACUAUUGUAAUUUUGUUGAGAAAUUUCGCUUCAAUUGUUACUCACUUGAUCAAUCUGACCAAAAAGUAGGUAUUGUUUGAAUGGACUGAAAAAUGUAAGAAGAUCUUCCAAAAGCUGAAGAUUCUUUGACUACUGUGCCCAUCCUAGAUUUACUAGUUGAGAGUAAAUAUUUCAUCGUUAAUUGUGCUACUUCACAUUUUGGUUUGGGUGUUGUGUUGACAUAGAAUAUAUGUUAUAUCUUAUGCCUCACGUCAAUUAAAGGUGCAUGAGAUAAAUUAUCCCACUCAUAAUCUUUAGUGGGCAGUGGUGGUAUUUGCUCUUAAUAUUUGGCGACAUUAUCUUUAUGGUGUUAAGUGUGACUAAUUUAUUUAUCAUCGUAUGUUGCAUCAUGUGUUCACUCAAAAGGAUUCGAAGUUGAGACAAUAUAUAUGGAUGGAACUACUCAAGGAUUAUGAUGUGACCAUUCAAUACAAUCUGGGCAAGGCAGAUGUUGUGGUACACGCAUUGAGUCAAAAAACAGUAAGUAUGGGUAGUUUAGCUUACUUAUGUAUAGCCAAGCGACCUUUGGCCAAGGAAAUUCAGGCAUUAGAAUAUAACUUUAUGCAAUUGGGCAUUUCAAAAAGAGGUGGGUUGUUAGAUAGCAUUAAAGCUAAGUCCAUGUUCAUAGAGGAUAUCAAGGCCAAAUAAUUCAAAGAUAGAGACUUAGAUGAGCUUAGAUGAAUGAUUUUGUUAGGUAAGUCUCAAGGAACUACUUUAGAUACGGAUAGUGUGCUCAACUACAAGGGCAGGAUAUGUGUUCCAUGAGUUGAUAAAUUUAUUCCAAGAUUGUUGGCGAAAGCUCAUGGCUUGCACUAUUUUAUUGACCUGGGAGUGACCAAGAGGUAUAGAGAUCUUAAAGGAGUUUAUUUGUUGUCCCAUGAUACAAGACAUUACGAAGUUCUUGGAAAAGUGUCAGAAAUGUCAACAACUAAAGUAUGAAUAUCCAAGGCCUGCGAGGUUACUUCAAAAAAUGUCAAUUCCGAAAUGGAAGUGGGAAAAGAUAGCGAUGGAUUUUAUGGUUGGUCUCCCUAAGACCUUAGGGAAGUUGGAAUCUAUUUAGGUUUUAUACAAUAGAUUGACUAAUUCAACCAACUUUAUUCUGGUGAGGGUAGAUUACAAUAAUUAACGAUUGGCUAUGAUUUAUGUAAAAGAGAUAGUGAGGUUGCAUGGCAUGCCCCUAUCCAUCAUCUCACAUCGUGGUACCCUUUUCAUUUCUAAGUUUUUGAGGAAAUUGCAUGAUGAAUUGGUCAUGCCACUCACUUUUAGUACAACCUUUCAUCCCUAGACGGAUGGACAAUCGGAGAGAACUAUUCAAGUGUGGGAAGACAUUUUGAGAACUUGUGUUAUUGACUUGGACGACAUUGGGAUAAGUUUUUACCACUAAAUGAAUUCUCUUACAAUAAUAGUUAUCACUCAAGCAUUGAUAUGGCACCAUUUGAUGCGUUAUAUGGGAGAGGAUGUAGAUAACCCAUAGGUUUGGUUGAGUCCGGAGAUGUGAAAUCUUUGGGGGUUGACUUAGUGAAAGAUGCUCCAGAUAAGGUGAGAAGAAUUCAAACUAAACUUCUAGCUACGCAGAGUAGACAAAAGAAGUAUGCAGAUCACAAGGCAAGAGAUAUGGAAUUUAAGACGGGCGAUAAUGUUCUCCAAAAGAUAUCACGCAUGAAAGGGGUGAUGUGAUUUGGUAAGAGGGGUAAGUUGAGUCCGCGCUAUAUUGGACCCUUUGAUAUUCCUAAACAUAUACGACCGGUGGCAUAUUGAUUGAUGUUACCCCUUAACUUGUGCGGUAUACAUCCCGUACUUCAUGAGUCUAUGUUGAAGAGAUAUCACGAUGAUGGUGACUAUAUCAUUAAAUGGAACUCAAUAGUACUAGACAAAGACCUUCAAUAUAAGGAGAAACCGAUUUAUAUUAUUGAUCACGACGUUCGUAAGUUGAGGACAAAGGAGAUUAAGUCCGUGAAUGUUAAAUGGAAACAUCGUCCCUCUGAGAAAGCUACUUGGAAAACCGAGAAGGACAUAUGAGACAAGUAUCGCAGUUGUUCGUCGAAUCAAGUACUACCUGAUUCCUUUUAACCUACUUUUCCUAAGUUGAUCGCUCUGGGAUUGAUAAAUCUAUAUCUAUUAUAAUGUCCGGGUUUCAUCAUUAUAGAAAAUGCCAACGAGGAAAAUUUGGGACAGACUAAACUUUUUCGAAGUAGUAGGAUGUUCCCAACCUUUUCCAGAUUUAGACAAAAUCGGAGUAAUCAAGGUAUAGGGAAAUAUGGUUUCAAUUGGGUGGAUUAAAUAAGACUUUUGGUACAUAAUUUGUUAGACAACUCAUUAAGGUAUGUGUACGACUUUACAGAAUUAAAUUUAGAUAAAUAGAUCCCCGAGAAUCGAUCCUAGCAUUAAAGAUAUAUUCCAAACAUAGUUUGUCAAGAGUGUGCAAUGAAAAUGGGAAAUUGAAAACCCCUUAGGAGCACAUUGCUUGCUUCGUGCUACUGCAACAGGAUUACUACCAGUGCACCGACACCGCUAUAACUAGAUGGGUGCCGCUGUAGAGGACAAAACGGUGAUGGAUUUAUACGACUUUGAAAUUUUGCAAGAUAUGGCUCACUAUUUCAAAAAUAUCCGCUGCAGCGAGAUUAGAGCCACUUCAUCAAAGCCGCUACAACAGGAUGGAUGCCGCAGUAGGGGGUGGUGGGUUUUCUAAUUCGUCAAUAAAACCCUUAAACGACCUUAUUAGAAACUUUUCAUCUUUUAGAGCUAAGAAAUGACCCUUGGGUGAUUUCAACUCGUUUUCCACCAUACUUAAGACUAAAGGUAAGCUUUACAUUCCCCAUUUUCUCUUUUAGAUCCGUAGAACAUAUUAGAAUAGGUCAUAAUUGACGGGGAAGGGUUUCUUGAUAGAAUUCAUGGUAUAAACAACCCUAGUCUGGCUAGUUGGGGUCAUGGGUUUGACCUAGGGUUCAUGAAUUUUGUAGAAUUCCGAGAAAUUAGUGAUUUAUUUAUUUAUUGUCAUAUAUUGUUGAUUAUUUCUAGACCAAGAACAAGAGGAAAGAAUCGAAAAAGGGAAGGAUCAAGUUUCUUAGGGUUCCAAACUUGUUUCGAGGUAGCUGAUGGUUGUGAUUCUAUUAUUGUGUGAUAUAUACGUGUUCUUGCUUCAUUGUUAUACUUGUAUAUGUAUGCAUGUUGCAAUAUUAUCAUAGAUGUUGAAAAAUUAAAUCAUGACUAAAAUGUGUGAUUUUGAUGUGUUGCUUUGAUAUGUGAUUGGGAUUGGAUUGCAACGCUCCAACAUGCUAACAAUUGUAUCGGAUUGCCACGUGCCGGCAUGCUAACACUGGAUCAAAUUUCCACGUUUCGACAUGCUAACAUUUUGGGUUUGUGUUCCGUGAGAGGACCAACUAUGUGAUAAGCAUGUGAAGAGUGUUGUUGACUCCUUAUGAUGAUAUUGAAUAUGAUCAUACAUAUGCAUGUUUUAUAAUGUUGUUUGGCUUGUUUAUAUUACAGUAGUGAGAUAGCUAUGUGAUCCUACCAGUACACAGUAGUUGUGUACUGAUCCUGCACUUGUUCUCAUUUUUGUUGAGUACAAUGCUUCUUCACGCGACUGUUGACAGAGCUCGCUUAGGAGAUCAAUGAUUGUUUCGAGUUCAAGGGUGAGCCACUUCGUUUGGUCUGCCAUGGAAUUCUCUUUGUCUAUGUCCAAUCUUUCUAGACUUAGACUUUUGUUUUAGAUAGUUCAAUAAAAUUAUAUGUUAGAUUUGGUUGUCAUU